AAGGGAGACCUAAUUCGGGUAUAAGACGAAAAAAGAGUAGUCGAAACCAAGAAUCAAUCCCAAAAGGUCGGAACGAGGUAUGUGGCUUUCAAACUAGGUUCUGGGUUCACACAAGACCUGAAUCAGGAACAAGGGCUAUUAGCUCAGGUGGUUAGAGCGCACCCCUGAUAAGGGUGAGGUCCCUGGUUCGAGUCCAGGAUGGCCCACCUGCACAGGUGGCAAAAACAAAGAAGCGAGGAAUCAGCACCUUAUCUUAUCUAUAUAUAAGAGAGAGUGCUGGCUCUGAGUAAAGAGUCCAGAGGAACCUUGAAAACUGCAUAGAGCUAGGUGAAAAAGCCAAAAAAGAAGACCGCAA
rnacentral:tRNA from 1 species